GUUCCACGGGUUCCGUGUCGGAGCUAACGCGUUAAGCAUCCCGCCUGGGGAGUACGGCCGCAAGGCUAAAACUCAAAGAAAUUGACGGGGGCCCGCACAAGCGGCGGAGCAUGCGGAUUAAUUCGAUGCAACGCGAAGAACCUUACCUGGGCUUGACAUGUUCCCGACAGCCGUAGAGAUACGGUCUCCUUCGGGGCGGGUUCACAGGUGGUGCAUGGUCGUCGUCAGCUCGUGUCGUGAGAUGUUGGGUUAAGUCCCGCAACGAGCGCAACCCUCGCCCUGUGUUGCCAGCACGUCAUGGUGGGAACUCACGGGGGACCGCCGGGGUCAACUCGGAGGAAGGUGGGGAUGACGUCAGAUCAUCAUGCCCCUUACGUCCAGGGCUUCACGCAUGCUACAAUGGCCGGUACAACGGGAUGCGACAUGGCGACAUGGAGCGGAUCCCUGAAAACCGGUCUCAGUUCGGAUUGGAGUCUGCAACCCGACUCCAUGAAGGCGGAGUCGCUAGUAAUCGCGGAUCAGCAACGCCGCGGUGAAUGCGUUCCCGGGCCUUGUACACACCGCCCGUCAAGUCAUGAAAGUGGGUAGCACCCGAAGCCGGUGGCCUAACCCCUUGUGGGAUGGAGCCGUCUAAGGUGAGAC
rnacentral:rRNA from 1 species